UGGAGUGUAGCGCAGCCUGGUAGCGCGCGGCGUUCGGGACGCCGAGGUCGUCAGUUCGAUCCUGACCACUCCGACCA
rnacentral:tRNA from 1 species